rnacentral:rRNA from 1 species
GACGAACGCUGGCGGCGUGCCUAAUACAUGCAAGUCGAGCGGAACUGGGGGAGCUUGCUCCUUCCAGUUCAGCGGCGGACGGGUGAGUAACACGUGGGCAACCUGCCCUGCAGAUCGGGAUAACUCCGGGAAACCGGUGCUAAUACCGAAUAGUUUGGCGCCUCUCCUGAGGCGCUACGGAAAGACGGUUUCGGCUGUCACUGCAGGAUGGGCCCGCGGCGCAUUUGGUAGUUGGUGGGGUAACGGCCCACCAAGGCGACGGCGCGUAGCCGACCGGGGGGGGUGACCGGCCACACGGGGACUGAGAAACGGCCCAGACGCCUACGGGAGGAAGCAUUAGGGAAUCUUGCGCAAUGGACGCAAGCCUGACGGAGCAACGCGGGGUGAGUGACGAAGGUUUUCGGAUCGUAAAACUCUGUUGUGAGGGAAGAACACGUACCAACUAACUAUUGGUACCUUGACGGUACCUCACCAGAAAGCCACGGCUAACUACGUGCCAGCAGCCGCCGUAA